CAGCCGUAAACUAUGCUCGCUAGGUGUCAGGCAUGGCGCGACCGUGUCUGGUGCCGCAGGGAAGCCGUGAAGCGAGCCACCUGGGAAGUACGGCCGCAAGGCUGAAACUUAAGGAUUGGCGGGGGAGCACAACAACGGGUGGAGCCUGCGGUUUAAUUGGACUCAACGCCGGACAACUCACCGGGGACGACAGCAAUAUGUAGGCCAGGCUGAAGACCUUGCCUGAAUCGCUGAGAGGAGGUGCAUGGCGUAGACGUCU
rnacentral:rRNA from 1 species